rnacentral:sRNA from 20 species
AUUUAUCAAAUUUUUAGACAAUUCAAUUUAAUGAUAUAAACCAUUCGAAAGGAGAUAAUUAAAAUGACUAACACCACAACUGCAAACACUCUACCGACAACAACAAAUAUUUUAGUCAUUUUAAUUAUUUGCUAGGACUCGAACUUUAGUAAUUGUAUCUACUAAAUGUUUAAGUCCUAUUUCCGAUUGAAUGGGACUUUUGAA